GAAAGUAAAAAAUUCGAAGGCCAAUAUUUUGCAGAAAGAAGGCAGAUUCACUUGAAAUUUAGCUUAUAAUAAAUCAAUUAUUGUGUUUUUUAAUAAAUCCUAACCAUUUGAAUCAGGUAUAUGCGCGUGAAAUAAUAUAUAUUUAUUUAUUUCCAACACCACUAUUCCUGUGCAGUAGAGUUACUCCCCUUUACGCGGAAUUAUUACAUUGUUGUUACGGUGAAUUCGGGAGCGAUCUUUUGAGCAGUUUUAUGGAUAUCCGUACGAUAAACACAGUAUUUGUUUGGCAGGAAGAGAAAUCGUCUCAUUUGGUAUCGAUGCAGAGAACAUGACUGACAAAGAUCUAUUGGACAGUGAUUAUGAUGGGAUUUCACAAAUACAUGAGCACAGUUACAUUGUGAUAUCGGACUCUGACGAGACACAACCACCUUCACCUUUUGGUUGACAGGAAUAUUCCAGUGAAAGAUCAGUUGUUUAAAAGCCUUUUUGACAAACAAAUUCCUGGUGCUGCCAUUCCUAAUCAACCGACAUAUCAGAAUUUUGGAUAAGAAUUCAGAUUACUGGCUGCAUAUUCAACCGAAUUUUUGGGUCCUGGGUUGGUGGGGGGUAACGUGUUUCAGACCAGAAUCCUGCCGGACCAUCCAAUUGCAAGGACAUCUUACAUAGCUGAAAUGUAUCUGUAAUGAAUUAUUAAAAGUUUGGAUAAAAAAUGUGUUCUUAAAUCAUUAUUUUAAACAAAUUAUACACCCAGGUUGACUAUUUUGAAAAAAUGAAAAAUGACAAUUUUUACACAUGGGAUUUUUCAAUGUUUCCGCAUUCACUAACAUUACUUUAGACAAUGUAAGAUAGACAAACCAUACAUAUUUGGAAAUGGUUUACUAAUAUCUAUCAGAAAAUGUAUAAUUUUACUGGGUUUAUGUCAAUUUUCAAAAUCAGUGGUUAUUGC